CUGGUGGUCGGAGGAUCCCACGAAGAGUGAAACCACUCAGUUCAUUUUACUGGGACUUACUGCAGAAUGGAUUUGAACACUAGCACAGCUUAUAGUUAUAUCCAGACGGCAGUGUGUCCCAUCAUCUAUGCUGGGAAUCAACUGAAGCACUGCCCUUGCCCUGUUCCACAUUUGGUCCUGACCUUUAACGUACUUGUGUACAUCAUGUCUUGCUCCACACGUCAGAUGCUGGAGGUUAC
rnacentral:lncRNA from 1 species